GAAAGAUGAAAAGAACUUUGAAAAGAGAGUUAAAUAGUACGUGAAAUUGUUGAAAGGGAAACGAUUGAAGCCAGUCGUACCUAUGGGUAAUCAGCCUUUUGGGUGUGAUUUUGUGGAGCGUGAGGAGUUAAACGCCUUCAUGCCUGUAUAUUCGUGCACUUUGGGUGUACUUGCCCGUAUGGUUGGUUAACAUCAAUUUUGGUGGUCAUAAAAUGACUGGAGGAAUGUAGCUUCGAUCUCGUAUUGAAGUGUUAUA
rnacentral:rRNA from 1 species